rnacentral:rRNA from 1 species
GAUGAACGCUGGCGGCGUGCCUAAUACAUGCAAGUCGAGCGAACAGACGAGGAGCUUGCUCCUUUGACGUUAGCGGCGGACGGGUGAGUAACACGUAGGUAACCUACCUAUAAGACUGGGAUAACUUCGGGAAACCGGAGCUAAUACCGGAUAAUAUUUCGAACCGCAUGGUUCGAUAGUGAAAGAUGGCUUUGCUAUCACUUAUAGAUGGACCUGCGCCGUAUUAGCUAGUUGGUAAGGUAACGGCUUACCAAGGCAACAAUACGUAGCCGACCUGAGAGGGUGAUCGGCCACACUGGAACUGAGACACGGUCCAGACUCCUACGGGAGGCAGCAGUAGGGAAUCUUCCGCAAUGGGCGAAAGCCUGACGGAGCAACGCCGCGUGAGUGAUGAAGGUCUUCGGAUCGUAAAACUCUGUUAUUAGGGAAGAACAAACGUGUAAGUAACUGUGCACGUCUUGACGGUACCUAAGCAGAAAGCCACGGCUAACUACGU